rnacentral:rRNA from 1 species
CCUACGUGAGGCAGCAGUAGGGAAUCUUCCACAAUGGGCGAAAGCCUGAUGGAGCAACGCCGCGUGGGUGAAGAAGGUCUUCGGAUCGUAAAACCCUGUUGUUAGAGAAGAAAGUGCGUGAGAGUAACUGUUCACGUUUCGACGGUAUCUAACCAGAAAGCCACGGCUAACUACGUGCCAGCAGCCGCGGUAAUACGUAGGUGGCAAGCGUUAUCCGGAUUUAUUGGGAGUAAAGGGAACGCAGGCGGUCUUUUAAGUCUGAUGUGAAAGCCUUCGGCUUAACCGGAGUAGUGCAUUGGAAACUGGGAGACUUGAGUGCAGAAGAGGAGAGUGGAACUCCAUGUGUAGCGGUGAAAUGCGUAGAUAUAUGGAAGAACACCAGUGGCGAAAGCGGAUCUCUGGUCUGUAACUGACGCUGAGGUUCGAAAGCGUGGGUAGCAAACAGGAUUAGAUACCCGGGUAGUC